ACUCAUAUAGUCCAGUGGCUAAGACGCCUUGAAUUGUUGUAGUAGAUCUCAUUCUCACAUGUCAAUAUUCCAAGGAGGCGGGGGUUCGAUUCCUCCUGUGAGUA